rnacentral:rRNA from 1 species
ACGCUCGACACCUACGGGAAGCAGCAGUAGGGAAUCUUCCACAAUGGACGCAAGUCUGAUGGAGCAACGCCGCGUGAGUGAAGAAGGUUUUCGGAUCGUAAAGCUCUGUUGUUGGUGAAGAAGGAUAGAGGUAGUAACUGGCCUUUAUUUGACGGUAAUCAACCAGAAAGUCACGGCUAACUACGUGCCAGAAGCCGCGGUAAUCUGAGCGGGCUGGCAAGGC